rnacentral:rRNA from 1 species
UACGAAGGGUGCAAACGUUGCUCGGAAUUAUUGGGCGUAAAGCGCACGUAGGCGGCUUAGCAAGUCGGAAGUGAAAUCCCUCGGCUCAACCAAGGAAGUGCUUUCGAAACUGCUGAGCUUGAGUACUUAAGAGGAUCGCGGAAUUCCCGGUGUAGAGGUGAAAUUCGUAGAUAUUCGGAAGAACACCAGUGGCGAAGGCGGCUCACUGGACUGGUAUUGACGCUGAGGUGCGAAAGCGUGGGGAGCAAACAGG